CCAAUAGCGUAUAUUAAAGUUGUUGCAGUUAAAAAGCUCGUAGUUGAAUUUCGAGACCGGUUUAUUGGUCGUGCUUUUGUACGUACUGGUAUUAUUGGUUUCUCCUUUCUGACGAAUCUUAAUGCCAUUAAUUUGGUGUUUUGGGGAAUCAGGACUGUUACUUUGAAAAAAUUAGAGUGUUUAAAGCAGGCUCACGCUUGAAUACAUUAGCAUGGAAUAACGGAAUAGGACGUUUGAUUCUAUUUUGUUGGUUUCUAGGAUCGACGUAAUGAUUAAUAGGGAUAGCUGGGGGCAUUAGUAUUCAAUUGUCAGAGGUGAAAUUCUUGGAUUUAUUGAAGACUAACUACUGCGAAAGCAUUUGCCAAGGAUGUUUUCAUUAAUCAAGAACGAAAGUUAGGGGAUCGAAGACGAUCAGAUACCGUCGUAGUCUUAACCAUAAACUAUGCCGACUAGGGAUCGGAUGAUGUUAAUUUUUUAAUGACUCAUUCGGCGCCUUACG
rnacentral:rRNA from 1 species